UACGAAGGGGGCUAGCGUUGUUCGGAAUUACUGGGCGUAAAGGGCGCGUAGGCGGCUCUGAUCGUUGGAUGUGAAAGGCCUGGGCUCAACCUGGGAAUGGCAUCCGAUACGGCGGGGCUGGAGUGUGGGAGAGGUUGGUGGAAUUCCCAGUGUAGAGGUGAAAUUCGUAGAUAUUAGGAAGAACACCGGUGGCGAAGGCGGCCCACUGGUCCGGUACUGACGCUGAGGUGCGAAAGCGUGGGGAGCAAACAGG
rnacentral:rRNA from 1 species